CCUACGGGUGGCAGCAGUGAGGAAUAUUGGUCAAUGGGCGUAAGCCUGAACCAGCCAAGUCGCGUGAGGGAUGAAGGUUCUAUGGAUCGUAAACCUCUUUUAUAAGGGAAUAAAGUGCGGGACGUGUCCCGUUUUGUAUGUACCUUAUGAAUAAGGAUCGGAUAACUCCGUGCCAGCAGCCGCGGUAAGACGGAGGGUCCGAGCGUUAUCCGGAUUUAUUGGGUUUAAAGGGUUCGUAGGCGGCCUUUUAAGUCAGGGGUGAAAGUCUGUGGCUCAACCAUAGAAUUGCCUUUGAAACUGGGAGGCUUGAGUAUGUUUGAGGCAGGGGGAAUGCGAGGUGUAGCGGUGAAAUGCGUAGAUAUCAGGCAGAACCCCAAUUGCGAAGGCAGCUUGCCAAGCCAUGACUGACGCUGAGGCACGAAAGCGUGGGGAUCAAACAGGAUUAGAUACCCCUGUAGUC
rnacentral:rRNA from 1 species